UACGUAGGGAGCGAGCGUUGUCCGGAUUCAUUGGGCGUAAAGAGCUCGUAGGCGGCUUGAUAAGUCGGAUGUGAAACCUCCAGGCUCAACCUGGAGUCGCCAUCCGAUACUGUCAUGGCUAGAGUCCGGUAGGGGCCCACGGAAUUCCUGGUGUAGCGGUGAAAUGCGCAGAUAUCAGGAGGAACACCGGUGGCGAAGGCGGUGGGCUGGACCGGCACUGACGCUGAGGAGCGAAAGCGUGGGGAGCGAACAGG
rnacentral:rRNA from 1 species